rnacentral:snoRNA from 1 species
AACCCAUGAUUGGGACAUUUCCUUAGUAACACCUAGAAAUUCUCCCAUGCCUCAUAAAAAGUCUUCUCAGUACCUUGUCUGAAUAUAGAGAUUUCAAACUUCACAUU